rnacentral:rRNA from 1 species
GGGAUAACAUUUGGAAACAGAUGCUAAUACCGCAUAAGAUUACAGUACCGCAUGAUACAGUGAUCAAAGGAGCAAUCCGCUGAAAGAUGGGCUCGCGUCCGAUUAGAUAGUUGGUGAGGUAACGGCUCACCAAGUCGACGAUCGGUAGCCGGACUGAGAGGUUGAACGGCCACAUUGGGACUGAGACACGGCCCAGACUCCUACGGGAGGCAGCAGUGGGGAAUAUUGCACAAUGGGCGAAAGCCUGAUGCAGCAACGCCGCGUGAGGGAAGACGGUUUUCGGAUUGUAAACCUCUGUUUUCGGUGACGAAUAAAUGACGGUAACCGAGUAGGAAGCCACGGCUAACUACGUGCCAGCAGCCGCGGUAAUACGUAGGUGGCAAGCGUUAUCCGGAAUUACUGGGUGUAAAGGGAGCGCAGGCGGGAUAGCAAGUCAGUUGUGAAAACUAUGGGCUCAACCCAUAGAUUGCAGUUGAAACUGUUAUUCUUGAGUGGAGUAGAGGCAAGCGGAAUUCCGAGUGUAGCGGUGAAAUGCGUAGAUAUUCGGAGGAACACCAGUGGCGAAGGCGGCUUGCUGGGCUCUAACUGACGCUGAGGCUCGAAAGUGUGGGGAGCAAACAGGAUUAGAUACCCUGGUAGUCCACACUGUAAACGAUGAAUGGUAGGUGUGGGGGGUCUGACCCCCUCCGUGCCGGAG